rnacentral:rRNA from 1 species
UGAGCAAUCUGCCCUUCUCUUCGGAAUAAGCGUUGGAAACGACGUCUAAUGCCGAAUACGACCUCCUUUCGCAUGAUCGGAGGUGGAAAGCUCCGGCGGAGAAGGAUGAGUUCGCGGCCUAUCAGCUAGUUGGUGUGGUAAUGGCCCACCAAGGCGACGACGGGUAGCCGGCCUGAGAGGGUGACCCGGCCACACGUGGGACUGAGACACGGCCCAGACCUCCGUACGGGAGCAGCAGG